CUCUUUCUCAUCUUUCCUCUCUCUUUCCUGCUCUUUUUUCUCUUUCCCUCUCUCUCUCUCUCAGAUAAAGCUAACUAAGCUAAACUGAAAGUGAGUAUAAGUAAGUAAGUAAGUAAGUGAGUGAGAGAGGGAGGGAGGGAGUGAGGGAGUAAGGG